rnacentral:rRNA from 1 species
AUGCACGCCGUGGAGGGUGAGAGCCCCGUCCAACCCACACAGGACACGCCGUACGAGAGCGUUUCAGGCGAGUCGGGUAGCUUGGGAAUGCUGCUCUAAUCGGUGGUAAAUCUCAUCGAAGGCUAAAUAGCGGCUGGAGACCGAUAGCGAACAAGUACCGUGAGGGAAAGAUGACAAGCACUUUGAAAAGAGGGUGAAAAGAGCCUGAAACCGUCAUGGGGGAAGCGGAUCGCGUUGGCCUGGUGGGCGCCUGUGUGUUCAGCCUUCGGGUGCAUUGGCACAGGUGCUUAUCCGCUGUGGGUUUUCGGGGGUCGAUUUUGGAUCCCUGGAGGCUGAGGGCUCCCUUCGGGUGAGGACAGCGGAGUGACGACGCGAUACGACCCGUCUUGAAACACGGACCAAGGAGUCUAGCGCGGGUGCGAGUCGGAGGGUGCAAGCCCGUGGGCGAAGUGAAAGCGAGUGUAAAAACGAGCAGUUUGGGGCGGCAUAAGAUCGUUGAUCUCAAGACCGACCCAGAGCAGUUGCGCUGGGACCCGAAAGAUGGUGAACUAUGCCGGAGUAGGGCAAAGCCAGAGGAAACUCUGGUGGAGGCUCGUAGCGGUGCUGACGUGCAAAUCGCUCGUCCAACUUGGGUAUAGGGGCGAAAGACUAAUCGAACCAUCUAGUAGCUGGUUCCCUCCGAAGUUUCUCUCAGGAUAGCGGGCCGACAAGUUGUUUUGUGCGGUAAAGCGAAUGAUUAGCGCACGUGGGGCCAUUUCGGCUUCAGGCGAUUCUCAAACUUUAAAUGCGCAAGGGUGUCGCUGCUUAAUUGAGCGGCACCGCUAAAAACGUCGGCCCUGUGGGCCACUUUUGGUAAGCAG